UUUUUUUUUCUUUUCACGAACACUUCUGCAAUGAUUGCUUACUAAAGUUUUUACAAAAUGUAAAGUCCCUCCCUGGAAAAUAAUAGGGAAUUUAAUAUAAAACACAAAUUGUUAAUUAACCAAUUCAAGCUUUGUAUCUCAGAUUUUGAAAAGUAACAUUAAGCAUCCUAAUAUCUUUCUCUUAUCUAUGCAUAUAGUCCAGUAAUCAGGCCAGUGUAAGCUAUCUGGAAGUAAACAUGGAUGCAUUUGUACUAAGUCACGGCAUAAACACACCCAUGUCAUAAUUCAGACAGUUUGAAGACUGAGUUCCAGCCUCUUAAAGACAAAUAAGAAUUCUGUAAAACACACAGCGAAAGUGGCUAUUCAGAGACACUCCAAAUGCACACGGCAGAAUAAAUGUGAUGAAAUGCUAUUCUUUUGUUCCUAUAAUGCUUUCUUUUAAAUUAAUAAGCAUCUUUGAAAGUUAUAAAACAACACCAAUCCAUUUUCCGAAGUGAAAUCAAUGUGUAAGAGGAUUAGAGAGCAUCCUACAAGUGCAAAUCAUUUUGGCACAAGGUAUUUCCCUACCCUGCACGUUUUUUGUUUGAAAACUAUUAUCAGGGCAGGAACUGACACAAUAUUGUACGUCAAUUAAAAAAACAAACUCAAAGAGUUUCCGUUGUGGUUCAAUGGUAACAAACCCUUCUGGUACCCAUGAGGAUGCAGGUUCAAUCACUGGCUUCACUCAGUGGGUUAAGGACCCAAUACUGCUGCAAGCUGCAGUGUAGGUCACAGGUGUGGCUCAGAUUUGGUGUUGCUGUGGCGUAGGCCUGCAGCUGCAGCUCGAGUUCCAAUCCUAGCCUAGGACAUCCGCAGGUGUGGCCAUAAAAAGAAAAAACAAAGACGAAAAACCUUAAGAAAUUUCAAAAAUAAAUACAUACAACUAUUUCUGAGUAUUCUUUCAUGAAUAGAACAGAGGUAAUCUAAAAGUUGAGUUGUGAGUUUUGUUUCCGAUGAAGCUGUCAACAUCAUUUGAAUACUGAAGACUGAGGGCUGUUUUCCAUGGAAAGUUAUAGCUAAAGGGGCAAAAGCAGACAAGGGUCACCUGGUUGAGGUCCAAGGGAGAACUAACACAGCCUGGCUCACGUAUAGAUGAAAUACAGAAAUGCCACGUGCUGGUCACCUGAGCAAUCUGGAAAACACAAUCACAAAAGUUCAAACAAAAAUCACACUAUAGGGAGUUCCCGUCGUGGCGCAGUGGUUAACGAAUCCGACUAGGAAGCAUGAGGUUGUAGGUUCGAUCCCUGGCCUUGCUCAGUGGGUUAAUGAUCCAGCGUUGCCGUGAGCUGUAGUGUAGUUCACAGACACGGCUCAGAUCCUGCAUUGCUAUGGCUGUGGUGUAGGCCAGAGGCUAUAGCUCUGAUUCGACCCCUAGCCUGGGAACCUCCACAUGCCUCAGGAGCGGCCCAAGAAAUGGCAAAAAAAAAAAAAAGAAAAAAAAUCACACCAUGGGAGUUCUGGAACGUGGUGCAGUGGAAACGAAUCCAACUAGGAACCAUAAGCUUGCGGUUUGAUCUGUGGUCUUGCUCAAGGGGUUAAGGAUCCAGCGUUGCCAUGAGCUGUGGUAUAGACAUGGCUCCGAUUCCAGGUUGCUGUGGCUGUGGUGUAGGCCGGCAGCUGUAGCUCAGAUUAGACCCCUAGCCUGGGACCCUCCAUAUGCCGCAAGUGAGGCCCUAAAAAGCAAAAAAAAAAAGAAGAAAAAAUCACAUCAUUUCCACAGUUCUGAAACCUUAAUAAGAUUCUUAAUGACAUAAAAGUUAAUCUGGAGGUUUCAAACAGGAAGAUCUAGGUCAAGAGCAUUAGAAAAAAAUGCACUGUCUCACCUGAGAUACAGCCUUGUUAAAUAUUAAAAUACAAAAUGCUGUGACUUUUAACUAGCCUCUAAGAUCCAAGACGGUAAGUCUCAAAGUUAAGUGUGCACAAAAUUACUUAGGGGUAGGGGAGGAGUGCUUCCAUGAGUGAGUUUCCUGAGCAGCAACUUUAGUCUGCAUCAAGCCCAGGAAUCUGCAUUUUUAAUAACCCUCACAUUCUCACACUGCACUCAGACACCAGCCUACAAGGGGUUCCUGUAACAACUUACCAGUCUAAUGAACAUUCUUAAAGACCACCCAUUUCCGAUGAUUAACAAAAUUAAUGUGCAAUAAAUUCCUAUGUUUUAGUCCUCUAACCCCUUUCUGCUCCAGGAGUAAUAAGUUAAUGGUGAGUCACAAGCACAAUGAUAGAAGGUCAGAAGAACAGGUAAGAAAAACCACCUUUUAAAGAUAGAAGAUAGUAACUGAACCUUCUGGAAAGGCUUAUCACUAUUAUUUAAUUUUAUUUAUAUUCUAUGGCCUCAGCCAUGGCAUAUGGAAGUUCCCAAGCCAGGGACUAAAUCUAACCAGUGGCUGUGAUUUACACUGCAUCUGCAGUAAUGCUGGAUCCUUUAACCCACUUCCCC
rnacentral:lncRNA from 1 species